rnacentral:rRNA from 1 species
UACAGAGGUGGCAAGCGUUGUUCGGAAUUACUGGGCGUAAAGGGCGCGUAGGCGGUCUUCUAAGUCUUGUGUGAAAUCCCUCGGCUCAACUGAGGAACUGCACGGGAUACUGGAUGACUUGAGUUCGGGAGAGGGAAGCGGAAUUCCGGGUGUAGCGGUGAAAUGCGUAGAUAUCCGGAGGAACACCGGUGGCGAAGGCGGCUUCCUGG